UUAUAGAACACUUGGGUCCAUACACCUGUGUAGCUGAAGUCUGUGAUAAACAUCAGCCUUAUUGUAAUUUGUACGAGGAUAACAACAUUAUACAAGGCCGAUGUAUGAUAUUUCAGGCUGGACAGUUGUGUACUUCUUCUAAUUAUGUUUCUGCUAAUGGCGGGUGUUAUUGUUCAGACUCACAAUGUGUUACCAGAGCAAUAAUCGACUACAACAAGAAUCGUAUAAUUGUCCCAACACAUG